rnacentral:lncRNA from 1 species
GUGACCAAUUGUUUUAUACCAGGUAUUUCUCAAAGGUAGCCCUCGUUGUGACUGAGAAGAAAAUUUAAAAAAGACUAGUGUAUAAACUGUAUAACUUAAAAAUAAUGAGUCAGGCUAUUUAAGGUUUUUGUGUAAUAGUAGGAUUGUCUACAAAUUAACUUGGACUGUAGAAUAAUCCCAAUUUUUAUUUUGUAGCCAAUUACUCACCACAGAAAAUUACAAAUUGGCACAGCAAGGCAUGUUCAAGGGAAAACCUGGCAUUGUGUACACAGACCCUGAGAGAUACCGUACAGCAAGAACUGGUUUAAUUUAUGGGCUUCAGUUACAUACUUCACAUUGUAAGUCAUUGUGCACAACUUUAUAAUAGUGUGUGUUAAUAUUUCUCUACCAUUACAAUAUAGUGAUGUGACUGUGUUCUUAUUCGACUGUGUUAACCCAUUGAGUUGCAUUGUGCCCUACUUUAUUAUUUUACUUUGUCUAACACCAGACUAUUUUACUCGUUAAUGGGUAUAACUGUCCUAUCCGCCCAUGUGUCUAGUUAACCCAUCGAGUUGCAUCGUGCCCUGAUGCACCCUAUUUUAAUGAUUAUGCUACUCUGUCUAACGCAAGAUUAUUUCACUAUGUCUAAUAGACUAAUACCAGAUUGAUUACAGUGAUUACAGUUUUUGAAGAAAGAAUUGUUUAGUAUCCGUACAUGGAUUAAACCAUUAACCUAUAUUAAGAUACUUAAUCUAUAUAAAACCUUAAUCUAUAUGUGUAUUAUAGAAUUAGAACUUAACUAUAUAGGUGUAUUUUAAUCUGUAUAGAAAUUUAUUCUAUGUUUGAUCUUUUUGUAGAGUUACAAAACCGUUGUAUCAUGGCAGCUUUGACAUACUGUAUGUCCUUGAGGAGAAGGAGCAUACCUCAGGAGAACAUUCCUUUAAUUAAAGUUGUUCUUGUAAGUGAAUUUUGUAUAUUUUAUAACAUCUAGAUAGAAUGUUUGUGAUGUUACUCUCAGUGUGAAUCCACUCCGGGCAAGCUGAAAAGUUAGCUUGGCCACGGUGAUCUUUGGGAUACUAGUCCCAUGCUCUGCCAAAUAAGCUACAUGGUCAAGUCGGUUCGAGUUGAUGAUAUUUCGGAACUGAGUCUAGUUCCUUCUAUAUCAGUGUAUUCUAUAUGAUUAUUUUUUUUGUGUGUUGGUGUUAUGUACUUCAUGUUAUGUACUCAGGUGAUGUACUCAGUAUGACAAAAAAUAAUCAGACAUAUAGAAUACACUGAUAUAGAAGAAACUAGACUCAGUUCCGAAAUAUCAUCAACUCGAACCGACUUGGCACAUAGCUCAGUUGGCAGAGCAUUGGACUAGUAUCCCAAAGGUCUCGGGUUCGAUUCCCACCGUGAACAAGCUAACUUUUCAGCUUGCUCGGUGUGGAUUCACACUCAGAGUAACAUCACAAACAUCAUAUUCACUGAGUACAUAACGCCAACACACACACAAAACAAUCUAGAUAUAAAUUAUGAAGUGAUGUAUAUUUUUGUAGUGUAACUACAGGAGAAGAAGUACAAUAUUUGGACAAAAGUGUAAGUUGUGCAUGAAAUGCUUAUUUCACUCAGUUAUAUAUUUCCUUGUUGCAGGAUGAUUCUGAAAUUGCUCCCAAAAUAUCAGGAUGCUCAACCCCUCGUCUAUUGGCCACUGGACCUCUGGAAGAGAUAAGUUCGAUUUCAUUGAUUGCAGAGGGAAUGGUUAUAAAAAAUUCAGAUACGAUCCGUGCAAUAUUACCAACGCAGUGGCACGUUUGCUUGCAGGGUACUACGUUUUAACAUGCAGUACCCAAAAGGGGCCAACAGGUCAUAGUAAGAACAUUUACAUGUUUUAGUAAUUUAGAACAUGUUCUUUUGGCCAAUAAUUGCCAUACCGGUACUUUACCAAUUGACGUGGAGAACUUCCUAAGCUAAAGGAUUUUAUGAACACAUUAAAUGGAACAAUUUAUGCUAAUGAAUUUA